rnacentral:rRNA from 1 species
UGUACACACCGCCCGUCGCUACUACCGAUUGAACGGCUUAGUGAGGUCCUCGGAUCGGCUUUGGGAAUCCGGCAACGGAAUCCUAUUGCUGAAAAGUCGAUCAAACUUGGUCGUUUAGAGGAAGUAAAAGUCGUAACAAGGUUUCCGUAGGUGAACCUGCGGAAGGAUCAUUA